ensembl:lncRNA
AGGUGGUCUAGAUGACUUAAGACUCGCAGGAACCUGCCAAAAAUAGAGGCUUGUAAGACUGGCCAGUGGAAGAGAAAAUAUGAGAUCACAGCGACAAGGCAGAGGAAGACAGGGAUUUGGCAAGCAGGUCUGUGGUUUUUGAAAAAGAAGAGGAGUCAAAGAGGAAGACUGACAGCGCAGAAAAGAGAAAGGGAAAUGUCCUGUGAGCAGAACUGAAGGAGGAGCAAGGAUGAUGCACUGAGACUUAUAAAAGGGAAGAGAAAGCAGAAUGAACAAGGACAGAGGACAGGGAUCUAAGGCUGAAAGCUGCUGGGAAAAGUCAAUUUAUUGCCCUUAACCUGUGAACGCUGCUAGAUGCACUGACUCUGGGCUGCGAGGACUGUAUCCAGCCAGCGAAUGUAGUCCAAGAAGGACAAGAGAUGUGAUUGUAAUGAGAGCCUGGUGAUCCUGCCCAGGGAUUGGGGUGGAGGAUCGAGGAGCGCGUCCAACCCCAGUGGAGCCAAGCACCCAGGACGGCCUGAUGGAUUUUCUCCCCUUCACGCGUUUUUGUUUCCUGCUGCUGACAGUUUCAUCUGCCUUUCUAACUACUGCUAUACCCAGUGGUGACCCUGCUGAGGGGACAAAAGGCUCUUCCUUUAGCAGCACAAAUGUGACAGUCUAUGACUGCAAGCGCUGUGGUAUCAGAGUAUGCGAGUUAUCCAAUUUCAGUUGCUGUGAUGUAAUCGGUGAAACACGAAACAAGAUGUUUUCAAAUGAAGUAAUUCAGCUGGUGGCCGAAGAAACACAUAUCACUGUGUGCUUUCAGCAAGAAGAUACUUCUCCAGAAGGAAUUUACACCAUCUUCUGGGUGAAAGCCGAGGGAAUGGGAUAUUCAUGUGGCAGCCUGGAGGCUAAAGAGAAUAGGAAGGACAUCAUCAUUACAGAGUGGAAAAAGACUUGCUGUACAGCAGACGUCCAGCCCGAAGUGCCCAACAGUUCCUUGAAUUGCUACAGUGAUCUGCCAGGCAAAAAGGGUUUCUUGUCAUCUUCGGUCAGCAAAGAAGGCAACUUUGACAUCACCACCGUGUUUGUGGCUCUUGUGGGCUGUGCUGUAGUACUGGACCACUCAUAGUGCAUAAUCACAUUUUUUAUAGGUGAUGAUACUGGUGAUGCAGUGGAUCCUGAAAUGGAAAACCUCAAUGUUAUUUAAAAACCAUAUGUAAAUGAGGAAAAAAAACCAAGCCUUUAUACCAGCAGCAUAUUCUUCAGUGAUGAAGUGCAGCCCUCAGCUGAAGAAAUAGACAUGAAUUUUAUACAAAAUCUCAGUAAUUUUUACAAAUAUACUUCUAGUGCUUUUGUGGACAGACUAUUUUCAGUGGUGCCCAGUGACAGGACAAGAGGCAACAGGCACAAACUGAAACACAGGAAGUUCCAUCUGAAUAUGAGGAAAAUCAUCUUUACUGUGAGGGUGACAGCACACUGGAACAGGUUGCCCAGAGAGGUUGUGGAGUCUCCUUCUCUGGAGAUAUUCAAAGCCCGCCUGGACACGAUCCUGUGCAACGUGCUCUAGGUGACCCUGUUUGAGCAGGGUGUUUGGACUAGAUGAUCUCCAGAGGUCCCUUCCAACUUCAACCAUUCUGUAAUUCUGUGAUUCCAUGCAUUCACUGAGGACUGUGGUUGUCGCAGUUACCUGAUUCCAGGCCUUCGUGAACAAUGCGAGAGCUCCUGACAGCUUCUGCGACUUCACUGAAAACUGCAGUCACUGCAAGAUGUGCAACUGGCUCAAUAGCACAGUUUUAAACCAGCUGAAUCCUUUCAAAGAUUUUUGCAGUUGAAACUAUCAGUCCAUCUGAAAUUCUUCAGAACAAUCUAUCUAUGUUCAAGAAGGGUGCGUUGAACCCUGAGGCAGAUGCUCUGUGCAUGUCUUCUAUAUCGUAACACAGUAGCACUGACAUAGUCUUAAACUUUUACUUGCCAGGUGGUCUUGAGAUUUACACAAGCAGACAGUUUGUACAGGCGACCGGGUUUGUUUAAAUCUUGCAGAGUAAACAUUUGCUACUGAUGGCAAUUGCUCUGUGCACUUGGUCCUGUGCAGGGGGGAUGGGAGGGUCAUAUCCAGCUCCCUCAGAAAUGGUUUUGGGUUGUGGGGCCUUUGGCCCCUCCCGGGCUGGACAAAUGUAUUCUGUCAAUCUUCCCGGCAAAUAAGAUCAUAAGGCUGGGAAUCUUCGUGUUGGACAUUUUCAAUAGUAACUCAAGCAAAUAGGAAAGGUAGGCACGUUGCUAUAUCUGCUCUAUUCCAGUGUCAGGAAAGAGCACAGUAUUUCUCCAUCUGAAGACAGGUUUGGGUAUACUGCAUGCAGACACUGACUGACAAAUCAAGUUCAGAGAUCCCCAUUUGGUAGUUCACAGGCAGUAUGUGAUCUUCAGAAGAUUUGUCAUUCAUGUUUGAUUUGAAUAAAUCCUCAAAUGCUUGCA